CUGCAGUGAUGGUUGAAUUUCUUCACCUGAAACAACUUGUGUGGAUCUAAAACACGAGCUUUUUAACACUGAGCAGU
rfam:Xenopus laevis strain J chromosome 8S, whole genome shotgun sequence.